rnacentral:rRNA from 1 species
AAGUCUGAGAGGGAGUACCUGGAUGUGCACAUGAAAAACAUGCGCAGGAAGGGCAUGAGUACACCACGGUACUCAUGAACCAUCGAGUCUUUGAACGCAAGUUGCGCCCGAAGCCAUUAGGCCGAGGGCACGUCUGCCUGGGCGUCA